UGGGGAAUAUUGCACAAUGGGGGAAACCCUGAUGCAGCGACGCCGCGUGAACGAAGAAGGUAUUCGUAUCGUAAAGUUCUGUCCUAUGGGAAGAUAAUGACAGUACCAUAGAAGAAAGCUCCGGCUAAAUACGUGCCAGCAGCCGCGGUAAUACGUAUGGAGCGAGCGUUGUCCGGAAUUAUUGGGCGUAAAGGGUACGCAGGCGGUUUAAUAAGUCGAAUGUUAAAGAUCGGGGCUCAACCCCGCAAAGCAUUGGAAACUGAUGAACUUGAGUAGUGGAGAAGAAAGUGGAAUUCCUAGUGUAGUGGUGAAAUACGUAGAUAUUAUGAGGAAUACCAGUAGCGAAGGCGACUUUCUGGACACAAACUGACGCUGAGGUACGAAAGCGUGGGGAGCAAACAGG
rnacentral:rRNA from 1 species